rnacentral:rRNA from 1 species
UACGUAGGGUGCAAGCGUUAAUCGGAAUUACUGGGCGUAAAGCGUGCGCAGGCGGCUUUGCAAGACAGAUGUGAAAGCCCGGGGCUCACCCCCGGAAGGGCAUUGGAAACUGACGGACUCGAGUCCCGAAGAGGAGGGUGGAAUUCCUGGUGUAGCGGUGAAAUGCGUAGAUAUCAGGAGGAACACCGGUGGCGAAGGCGGCCCUCUGGACGGUGACUGACGCUGAGACGCGAAAGCGUGGGGAGCAAACAGG